UACGUAGGGUGCGAGCGUUAAUCGGAAUUACUGGGCGUAAAGUGUGCGCAGGCGGCCGCUCAAGUCGAGUGUGAAAUCCCCGAGCUUAACUUGGGAAUUGCGCUCGAAACUAAGUGGCUGGAGUGUGGCAGAGGAAGGUGGAAUUCCACGUGUAGCGGUGAAAUGCGUAGAGAUGUGGAGGAACACCGAUGGCGAAGGCAGCCUUCUGGGCCAACACUGACGCUCAUGCACGAAAGCGUGGGGAGCAAACAGG
rnacentral:rRNA from 1 species